UACGUAGGGGGCUAGCGUUGUCCGGAAUCAUUGUGCGUAAAGCGUGUGUAGGCGGGCCCGUAAGUGUCUUGUGAAAUCCCCCGGCUCAACCGGGGAACGGCUGGGCAUACUGCGGGUCUUGGGCCGACUAGGGGCAGCCGGAACAAGCGGUGGAGCGGUGAAAUGCGUAGAUAUCGCUUGGAACGCCGAAGGUGAAAACAGGCUGCUGGGGUCGCGCCGACGCUGAGACACGAAAGCCAGGGGAGCAAACGGG
rnacentral:rRNA from 1 species